rnacentral:rRNA from 1 species
GAUGAACGCUGGCGGCGUGCCUAACACAUGCAAGUCGAGCGAACCCUUCGGGGUGAGCGGCGGACGGGUGAGUAACGCGUGGGUAACCUGCCCUAUACACACGGAUAACGUACCGAAAGGUACGCUAAUACGGGAUAAAGUUGUUGGAUGGCAUCUUCUAACAAUCAAAGCUCCGGCGGUAUAGGAUGGACCCGCGUCUGAUUAGCUAGUUGGUGAGGUAAUGGCUCACCAAGGCGACGAUCAGUAGCCGACCUGAGAGGGUGAUCGGCCACACUGGAACUGAGACACGGUCCAGACUCCUACGGGAGGCAGCAGUGGGGAAUAUUGCACAGUGGGCGAAAGCCUGAUGCAGCAACGCCGCGUGAUCGAUGAAGGUCUUCGGAUCGUAAAGCUCUGUCCUCAAGGAAGAUAAUGACGGUACUUGAGGCGGAAGCCCCGGCUAACUACGUGCCAGCCGCCGCCGUAA